ensembl:snoRNA
CUUGCCCCUAGAGGUUUUGUAGAUGUGGCUUCCAUGUCACAUGUGCAUCAGUAGGUGACAAAGAGAAGAGAGGCUAUGUCUACACUCAGUGUUCUGACCUGUGAACCUCUGAAUGACUAGUAACCCAACACU